GAUGAACGCUGGCGGCGUGCCUCAAACAUGCAAGUCGAGCGGGGCUAUGUAAUAUCGCAAGGUAGAACAUAGCCUAGCGGCGAACGGGUGAGUAACACGUGGGUAACCUGCCUGGAAGACAGGGAUAACGAUUCGAAAGGGUCGCUAAUACCUGAUAAUAUCCUUUCAUCGCAUGGUGAUAGGAAGAAAGGGGAAACCCGCUUUCAGAUGGGCCCGCGUCCCAUCAGCUAGUUGGUAAGGUAAAGGCUUACCAAGGCGACGACGGGUAGCCGGUCUGAGAGGAUGUACGGCCACACUGGGACUGAGAUACGGCCCAGACUCCUACGGGAGGCAGCAGUUGGGAAUCUUAGGCAAUGGACGAAAGUCUGACCUAGCGACGCCGCGUGAGGGAAGAAGGCCUUGGGUUGUAAACCUCUGUCAUGGGGAAGAAGUAGUGACGGUACCCCAAGAGGAACGCCCUGCUAACUACGUGCCAGCCGCCGCGGUAAGGUACUCUAU
rnacentral:rRNA from 1 species